UUGAACGCUGGCGGCAUGCUUUACACAUGCAAGUCGAACGGCAGCGGGGGCUUCGGCCCGCCGGCGAGUGGCGAACGGGUGAGUAAUGCAUCGGAACGUACCCAGUCGUGGGGGAUAACGUAGCGAAAGUUACGCUAAUACCGCAUACGUCCUGAGGGAGAAAGCGGGGGACCGUAAGGCCUCGCGCGAUUGGAGCGGCCGAUGUCGGAUUAGCUAGUUGGUGGGGUAAAGGCCUACCAAGGCGACGAUCCGUAGCGGGUCUGAGAGGAUGAUCCGCCACACUGGGACUGAGACACGGCCCAGACUCCUACGGGAGGCAGCAGUGGGGAAUUUUGGACAAUGGGGGCAACCCUGAUCCAGCCAUGCCGCGUGAGUGAAGAAGGCCUUCGGGUUGUAAAGCUCUUUCAGCCGGAACGAAACGGUACGCUCUAACAUAGCGUGCUAAUGACGGUACCGGCAGAAGAAGCACCGGCUAACUACGU
rnacentral:rRNA from 1 species